rnacentral:rRNA from 1 species
ACGGCUCAGUAACACGUAGUCAACAUGCCCAGGGGACGUGGAUAACCUCGGGAAACUGAGGAUAAACCGCGAUAGGCCAAGGUUUCUGGAAUGGACACUGGCUGAAACCUAUAUGGCCCCUGGAUUGGACUGCGGCCGAUCAGGCUGUUGGUGAGGUAAUGGCCCACCAAACCUGUAACCGGUACGGGCUUUGAGAGAAGGAGCCCGGAGAUGGGCACUGAUACAAGGGCCCAGGCCCUAUGGGGCGCAGCAGGCGCGAAAAUUCUGCAAUAGGCGAAAGCUUGACAGAGUUACUCUGAGUGAUGCCCGCUAAGGGCAUCUUUUGGCACCUCUAAAAAUGGUGCAGAAUAAGGGGUGGGCAAGUCUGGUGUCAGCCGCCGCGGUAAUACCAGCACCCCGAGUGGUCGGGACGAUUAUUGGGCCUAAAGCAUCCGUAUCUUGUUCUGCAAGUCUUCCGUUAAAUCCACUGCUCUACAGAUGGGCUGCGGGAGAUACUACAGGGUUAGGAGGAGGAAAAGGCAAGCGGCCUCUAUGGGUAGGGGAAAAAUCCUC